AUUGAACGCUGGCGGCAUGCCUUACACAUGCAAGUCGAACGGCAGCACGGGUGCUUGCACCUGGUGGCGAGUGGCGAACGGGUGAGUAAUACAUCGGAACGUACCUUAUCGUGGGGGAUAACGCAGCGAAAGCUGUGCUAAUACCGCAUACGCCCUGAGGGGGAAAGCGGGGGAUCGAAAGACCUCGCGCGAUUAGAGCGGCCGAUGCCUGAUUAGCUUGUUGGUGGGGUAAAAGCCCACCAAGGCGACGAUCAGUAGCUGGUCUGAGAGGACGAGCAGCCAAACGGGGACUGAGACACGGCCCAGCCUCCUACGGGAGGCAGCAGUGGGGAAUUUUGGACAAUGGGGGCAACCCUGAUCCAGCAAUGCCGCGUGAGUGAAGAAGGCCUUCGGGUUGUAAAGCUCUUUUGUCAGGGAAGAAACACCGGCUCUAACACAGUCCGGGAAUGACGGUACCUGAAGAAUAAGCACCGGCUAGCUACGUGCCAGCAGCCGCGGUAA
rnacentral:rRNA from 1 species